rnacentral:rRNA from 1 species
CGGGAAAAGCUCAAAUUUAAAAUCUGGCGGUCUUUGGCCGUCCGAGUUGUAAUCUAGAGAAGUGUUACCCGCGCCGGACCGUGUAUAAGUCUCCUGGAAUGGAGCGUCACAGAGGGUGAGAAUCCCGUCUUUGACACGGACUCCCGGGGCAUUGUGGUGCGCUCUCAAA